rnacentral:misc_RNA from 1 species
GUAGGUGAACCUGCGGAAGGAUCAUUAACACUGCUAUUGAGCAAUCUCAACUUACUGGAUUUCCUUUCAGUAUUUUACACCCCCCCCCCACACUUGUGAACCUUUGUUUGGAAGUGCUCAUUUGGUUGACCAUUUCCGCUUUUUUUUUUUCUUUCUUCUUUUCUGAAAAAACCCAAUUGAACUAAUUUGACUGAAAUCUUUGUUUGGUCUGCGAAAGCAAAUCAACACAAAACAAAAAAGAGAAAAAAUGUGAAAAACAACUCUUAGCAACGGAUAUCUUGGCUCUC